AAUGAUCAAUUGAUCAUACAAUGUUUCAAAAUCCAGACUUUAUGGAAAAAGUUGCCGUGUUACCUACUGGUUAUCCAAAGAUAAGAUUGCUAAACUUAGUAUUUUCUUAUAUUCCCCAAAAGUCUUUUCUGUCAUUUGUUCUCAACCUCCCUGCUUUGAUCCUGUUUUGGCUAAAAUCCUUGAUUUGGGUAUAUUUUCUGAAUGCUCCACAAGAUUUUGAGUUCCUACAAAUGGACUUACCAAAUUCCUUUCAUUUUCUUAUAUAUUCCGUCGUCGAGAUUGUUGUUGGUCCUGCAGUAGUCAAUCUAUCCGUCUGGCCGAUAAAAUCAAACAGUUUGGAGGGGCCUUGUUCAUAAGACUUAUAGAUAUAAAAGCUCAGGAGUCAAAUGCUCUUUCAGGUUAGAUCCUUAUAUUAAAUGUCAGUUGCUUCCAGCUCUGUCAAUGGUGGUUUACUUAUGGUAAUCACUUUUAUGUUGAGCCCAGUUUAUUUUUGGAUAGCAAGAAUAUAUCAAUAAUCUAAUGGUUGGCUUUUCAUGUAGAACCUUAAUGUAAAAAAUAAAACAUCAGUAUUGCCGAAGAUGAAGUUGCAGGCUUGCAGCAAUGGUGCUAAGAAGUUAGAAACAUAAUGAAAAACAUAUUAGUCUACUGUUAUUAGACAGAUAUAUCUCUGUGUUUGACAGUCAUGUCGGAUAUAUAUUGGAUUUGCGUACUGGAA